GAUGAACGCUGGCGGCGUGCCUAAUACAUGCAAGUCGAGCGAACAGACGAGGAGCUUGCUCCUCUGACGUUAGCGGCGGACGGGUGAGUAACACGUGGAUAACCUACCUGUAAGACUGGGAUAACUUCGGGAAACCGGAGCUAGUACCGGAUAAUAUAUUGAACCGCAUGGUUCAAUAGUGAAAGACGGUUUUGCUGUCACUUAUAGAUGGAUCCGCGCCGCAUUAGCUAGUUGGUAAGGUAACGGCUUACCAAGGCGACGAUGCGUAGCCGACCUGAGAGGGUGAUCGGCCACACUGGAACUGAGACACGGUCCAGACUCCUACGGGAGGCAGCAGUAGGGAAUCUUCCGCAAUGGGCGAAAGCCUGACGGAGCAACGCCGCGUGAGUGAUGAAGGUCUUCGGAUCGUAAAACUCUGUUAUUAGGGAAGAACAAAUGUGUAAGUAACUAUGCACGUCUUGACGGUACCUAAUCAGAAAGCCACGGCUAACUACGUG
rnacentral:rRNA from 1 species